rnacentral:rRNA from 1 species
GACGAACGCUGGCGGCGUGCUUAACACAUGCAAGUCGAACGAAAAGAGGGAAAGAGCCUGCUCUUUCCGGAAUUGAGUGGCAAACGGGUGAGUAACACGUAAACAACCUGCCUUCAGGAUGGGGACAACAGACGGAAACGACUGCUAAUACCGAAUAAGUUCCAAGAGCCGCAUGGCCCAUGGAAGAAAAGGUGGCCUCUACCUGUAAGCUAUCGCCUGAAGAGGGGGUUGCGUCUGAUUAGCUGGUUGGGGGGGUAACGGCCCACCAAGGCGACGAUCAGUAGCCGGUCUGAGAGGAUGAACGGCCACACUGGAACUGAGACACGGUCCAGACUCCUACGGGAGGCAGCAGUGGGGAAUCUUCCGCAAUGGGCGAAAGCCUGACGGAGCAACGCCGCGUGAGUGAUGACGGCCUUCGGGUUGUAAAACUCUGUGAUCCGGGACGAAAAGGCAGAGUGCGAAGAACAAACUGCAUUGACGGUACCGGAAAAGCAAGCCACGGCUAACUACGUG